UAUGAGGGAGAGUCAAAAUGUUCUCAGACAAACGUAAUAAAAAGUUUAUAUAUCAAAAUAGCAAAAUUAUUUUUCUACAUUAGCUCCAUUUGAGCCUCAAGUUUUUUUCAA